rnacentral:rRNA from 1 species
AUAAUCCUACGGGGGGCAGCAGUGAGGAAUAUUGGUCAAUGGGCGAGAGCCUGAACCAGCCAAGUCGCGUGAGGGAGUACCGCCCUAUGGGUUGUAAACUUCUUUUAUAUGGGAAUAAAAUGUUCCACGUGUGGGAUUUUGUACGUACCAUAUGAAUAAGGAUCGGCUAACUCCGUGCCAGCAGCCGCGGUAAUACGGAGGAUCCGAGCGUUAUCCGGAUUUAUUGGGUUUAAAGGGAGCGUAGGUGGAUUGUUAAGUCAGUUGUGAAAGUUUGCGGCUCAACCGUAAAAUUGCAGUUGAAACCG